UAUUAAAAGUUCCAUCCAUUCUAUUGUUAAAAACUAACAUAGCGGAUAGAAUAGUUAAACAGGGACAUGUGGCGUGUCACGUCUAUCACACGCUGACAUACAAGGAUUAGUUUUUAACAGUAGAAAUAUUAAAAAAUUUUAAUA
rfam:Gossypium raimondii Chr13_contig_33, whole genome shotgun sequence.